rnacentral:rRNA from 1 species
AGCGAACGCUGGCGGCAGGCCUAACACAUGCAAGUCGAACGAUCCUUCGGGAUAGUGGCGGACGGGUGAGUAACACGUGGGAACGUGCCCUUUGGUUCGGAACAACUCAAGGAACCUUGAGCUAAUACCGAAUGUGCCCUUCGGGGGAAAGAUUUAUCGCCAUUGGAGCGGCCCGCGGCUGAUUCGCUCGUUGGUGAGGCUAUGGCUCACCAAGGCGACGAUCAGUAGCUGGGCUGAGAGGAAGAUCAGCCACAUUGGGACUGAGACACGGCCCAAACUCCUACGGGAGGCAGCAGUGGGGAAUCUUGCGCAAUGGGCAAAAGCUUGACGCAGCCAUGCCGCGUGAAUGAUGAAGGUCUUAGGAUUGUAAAAUUCUUUCACCGGGGACGAUAAUGACGGUACCCGGAGAAGAAGCUCCGGCUAACUUCGUGCCAGCCGCCGCAGUAAAAC